rnacentral:rRNA from 1 species
AUUGAACGCUGGCGGCAGGCCUAACACAUGCAAGUCGAGCGGAGCGGCGGACGGGUGAGUAAUGCCUAGGAAUCUGCCUGGUAGUGGGGGAUAACGUCCGGAAACGGGCGCUAAUAACGCAUAAUAUCAGAUGAGCCUAGGUCGGAGUAGCUAGGUGGUGGGGUAAAGGCCUACCUAGGCGACGAUACGUAACUAGUCUGCGAGGAUGAUCAGUCACACUUGAACUGAGACACGGUCCAGACUCCUACGUGAGGCAGCAGUGGGGAAUAUUUGACAAUGGGCGAAAGCCUGAUCCAGCCAUGCCGCGUGUGUGAAGAAGGUCUUCGGAUUGUAAAGCACUUUUAGUUGGGAGGCGUUACCAACAGAAUAAGCACCGGCUAACUUCGUGCCAGCCGCCGCGGUAAUUC